rnacentral:rRNA from 1 species
UACGUAGGGGGCAAGCGUUGUCCGGAUUUAUUGGGCGUAAAGCGCUCGCAGGCGGCCCGAUGCGUCGUGCGUGAAACACCCCGGCUUAACUGGGGAGGGUCGUGCGAUACGGUCGGGCUUGAGGGCAGUAGGGGGAUGCGGAAUUCCGGGUGUAGUGGUGGAAUGCGUAGAGAUCCGGAGGAACACCAGCGGCGAAGGCGGCAUCCUGGACUGGUACUGACGCUCAUGAGCGAAAGCGUGGGUAGCGAAUGGG